ensembl:lncRNA
AUUUUAUUCUUACUAAGUCACAUACUGUAAACUGUAUAGAUCAGUUGGGUCAUUGCAUCUUAGUUUUAAUGCAGGGUCUGAUCAGGUGAAUGCAUCACUGCUUCAGGAGACAAAAGUAGUGAGAGAGACCAUUGUCCAACUCAACAAGAAGGUACAGUAACAAUCUCAUGCCUAAAAACAAAGACAUUAAAUCCUUCUAAAAGGUUCCUACUUACUGUACAAGCUCAGAAAUGAAACAAAGGAAUGUGAAAAAAACAAAGGAGACAAAUUAAAAUUGCAACUGAUGGUUUAUUUGUAUUUUAUGAUUCUAAUGUUUAUAUAUACUUAAAUGCAAUAUUUUAAAUACAACUCAUUCCAGAUGGGCAACCUGAAACAGGAAGUGUCAAUUCUGACAAAGGAUCUUCAUCACAUAAUGCACCUCCUGGAAGCACAAAUAGCAGUUCAUCAUUACACAGAACCUUUGUCCUCCUGUCCCCAUGGAGUCCACAUGAUGUCCAGUUCUUCUGUCGGUGUGUCUCCAGCCUACAUCUUGGGUUCCAGCAUCCACAUGCAGCACAAAGAACAUGUUGUCCCUGAGGGUCUCCUGGGGUCCACAUCUUGGAGUCACGGCAGACCUGGUGGUGGAUCUGGUUUCGCUCAGCACACUGAGAAACAGGGACACUUUCGCCAGCAUGAGCCCAAUCAACACUCUCCUGUCACAGCAAAUGAGCCCUGUUCCCAUGAUUGGAGUUCCAUCUACACCUCAGUUCCCUCCAAUAUCAGCCACCAUCACUUCUCUACUGGCUCCUCUCUCCUUAGUAUCAGCCCAGGAAGCCUGGGGCCAACACCUGGAGAGAGCCCCCGAGCAGAGGGCUCAUCACUGGGCAUUUGUGCUGGAGAUGGAGCCCAUGCCAGUAUCAGCCAGUCACACCCUGUUUUGCAUACAUUGUUUCCUCAAAAUUUGGACAGUUCGUCUUUUUCUUGCAAGGUCACGCCAAGCUCUUAUUCACACCUACACCUUUCCACAGAACCAGUGUUUCCCUACUCCACUCCAACUGUGGAUGAAGAGCACAGGACUCCAGAGGUGGCCCUCACUCAGAAUGUGGUACCUUCCACUUUCGUACAAGAGAAUUCUCCACACGAAUCAGGCAUAGUUCUCUCUUCUCUUGAGGAGUCACCUGAAGUAGAGCACACCAGUCGGGAGUGCCUACUGGGUAAUCAAAGGCUGGGCCAAGAUAGUGAAACAUCAGAGAGCAGGUCUAGUGGGUCCAGUGUAGGACUUUGUAGCCAAUCCGAGAUCUCAGAGACCACAUGGUGCCUGGAUCUGAUGGACUGACAAUAAGGAAAGACUAUCAUCAAGACAUCUACAACAAACAAUUUUUGAAUUUUAACAAUUUUCCUUUCAUUACGAACUUCAUAUAUUCAGGAGUAUGAAGAGAAAAAGCUGCUCAGCGGUUAAUCAUCUGGACCAUCACCGAACCCAUUUUCCACCAGCAGUGUCUUUGUUGGUGGCAGAGCCAGUGCCUGAUCUGGAAUCUUUUCCUGUUCCACCACAGUAAAUGGCAGUAAUGGUGUGGAAGAACACCACACCAAAUUCUAAAACCUGCUAGUCUUAAACAAGAAAUCACAAUGUUAGAGGCCAGGGCCUGGAUGUGCUUACCAAGUAAGUUUAUUUAUUUUAUUAAACUAGAAUAUCUCUCUCUCACACACACACUUACUGUACUUUUCUGGCACAUACACCAUAUUUGCUGUACACAACAAACUGCAUUCCUCUUUUUUUUUUGUUAAAGAGAUAAUUGACUCAAACAUGAAAAUUGUGUCAUUUACUCACCCUCUUGUUUUUCUAAACUCAUAAGUCUUUUGUUCAUCUGCAUAACAAAAUUGAAGAUAUUUGUAAUAUUCUCUCAACAUUUUUGUCAAUUCAUUAAAAGUUAAAGCAGUAACAAUUUAAGCUUAAAAAAAGUUCAGAAAGACACUAAACGUAUGACCUGUCACACUUACGUCGAGAGCACGGACACGAAAAUAAUACAAUAUAGACUUUUAAAAGGAUCUCCAGACAAUGAAGGUUAAUACAAGACAAAAGGGCACAUAAGCAUUCACAACAAUAAUAACUGGCAAACAACCGGAGAGAUCUUAAAUAAGGCAGUAAAUGAGGGACAUACAGGUGCUGAGGAUUAACUGAUAAUUGACUAAUGAACUAAUGCACUAAUGACAACAGGAACAGAACCAAAUAUGGGCAAAUAGGAAUCUAAACCAGGGGGGUG